rnacentral:rRNA from 1 species
UACGUAGGGUGCAAGCGUUAAUCGGAAUUACUGGGCGUAAAGCGUGCGCAGGCGGUUCGGAAAGAAAGAUGUGAAAUCCCAGGGCUUAACCUUGGAACUGCAUUUUUAACUGCCGAGCUAGAGUAUGUCAGAGGGGGGUAGAAUUCCACGUGUAGCAGUGAAAUGCGUAGAGAUGUGGAGGAAUACCGAUGGCGAAGGCAGCCCCCUGGGAUAAUACUGACGCUCAUGCGCGAAAGCGUGGGGAGCAAACAGG